UUUAGUUGGUCUACGUUGUCAUGAAAGCAUUUUGUGCAUGUUAAUUUGGAAUAAAUUGGAGAUCUUUUCGAAUUUAGGCUUUGAAUUGUUGGGGAAAAAGUUUUUACUUAGAUACCUGCUAACUAGCUAACUCAAGAGCUAUGACUUCAUCAUUGAGUCUUGAAGAUUAUCUUAGGCGAAUUAUCUAUGUAAAUAAUACCCACAAUGAUUACUAUGUUGGGGACCCUGACAAAUAUCGAAAGGAAAUAUCUAGUCAAAGACAUUCUACAAUUGAUAGUGCUAUAGAAAAUGAGUUAAAGGAGGUAUUUUCUGUCCUCGAUGCUGCUAAUAGUGAUAAAAAUUUACCUAGCCGUUCUACAAUAUUUAUGUUCUUGGGCCAAUUGCUACAUCAUGAAAAGAUGACUCCAACCUUAAAAAGUCAAGUGACGGCGAAAGUAUUGCAGCUGUGUCAAUCUGAUGAAGACUUCUUUGAUUUCAUCAAGUAUUACACUCAACUAAGGAAGAAUUGUAAACUUCCAUCGUCCGUUGAAAAGAUUGUUAAAAAGUAUUAUACGAAGAAGUCCUCUCUAGAGUUAGCACAAUCUUUUGCUCAAUUUAAUAGUUUACAUACGUGGACGCAUAAAGAUCUCAUUAAAUUAGCUCAUGUAAAACCAGACACAACAUUGAAAGAUGCGGUUAUUAAAUACAUAUUAAAAAAGCAGCCCAACGAUAGAGCAAAUGAAGAGGAACAAAAAGUUAUGGAUAUUUUACGAAAAACAACUGAACUUCGGAGCACCACUGAAGCUGUAAAUGCUGUACCACUGUUAGCUGAAUUGAAGUUAACUAUCAAGCAAGUUUCACCUUCUUUGCACCAAAAUCUUGAGGUAUGGUCUGCGGCAAUUGAGAACAUGAAAAUUCAGGAAAUAUUACCUCAUCUGGAAAAAUUAUAUAAACUGGGCCUUCUAAAACCAUCAUGCGAGCCCAAUAUCAGUAACCAAUUAAUAAAUAUUUUCACUAGUCCGGACACUGUCAAAGCUAGUGGAGUUCAUCCCAUUGAAGUUUUCACUUACAUGAAAAGACUGGAAAAGGGUGGAAAACCAUUAGAUCCGAAACUUGUACAUCAUUUACAAAAUGACAAAAAAAUCUCUGAAGAAAAUCUAAAAAAAGCUACAGUCAGAACAGAAGCUAAAUGUAUUCAUAUACUAAAUGCCCUGCAUAAAUGUUUCAAUUUGGCUUGUAAUAACGUGUCGCCGACCAACAAAAGAUAUCUGGUAACAAUUGACGUAACAGAUCAAGCCAAAAAGGCACAAUGUAUGGGUAACAAAGCUUUAACUUCUUUGGAAGUGGCUGCCGCUUAUACACUGGUUUUAUUGAGGGUCGAAAAGGAUGUGUUUAUUGGAACUUUUAAAGAUGACAAAGUGUGUGUGCAUAGUAUUACCAAAAAAAUCUCCUAUGCUGAUUUACUGAAGAAAAUUUCAGCGGAAACAAGCACCUCUUCAAUGGUCUGGUCGUCAAUAGAUUGGGCAACCUCUCAUAAAAAGAAUAUCGAUGUGUUCGUUAAUUUCAUCGACUCGCAUUUCUUUGCCAACUUUAUCAAGGAGAAAAAACGCGAACCCUAUUUUCAAAGCAUAACAGACUAUAGGAAAAAGAUGAAUGUGCCCAAUUCAAAGUUCCUAAUCUUUUAUACAGAUGAUCGCAUCAACUGUCGCGUUGUAGGAAGGGAUGAAAUGUCAAAUGUCUUGGACGUAAAUGGCUUUGAUUAUCUAGCAUGCAAAGUGGCAGAAUCUUUCAGCAGAGGCGCAUUCUGCUAAGCGACUUAAAAAGGUUUUUCUUAUUUUAAAUAAAUUGUGGUCCCAAAAAAAAUGUCACAGAGGAUACAUCCGCGGGCUUAAGAGAAGGGCUUUUUUUAUUCACUCCUCAAGUUCUUUAUUUAAAAGUAAUGAUGCAACAUAUUUAGAGUAUAUUUUUAUUUAUGACUUUAUUUGUGACUGUGUGAAGCAGUGUAUUUUACCCAAUGUGAUAUUGGUACCACUAAUGAUGAUGAUAGUUCAUUUGAACUAUUAUUUAAAAAACUGAGAUAUGGUUAUCCAUCCAUAAAAGAAGUGUUCCAUUAUAUUAUAGAAAAAAAAACUUUAUUUCUCUGUGAAUUAGUGAAUCGACAUUAUGUGAAUCGACUUAAAAUCAAUAAUAUUUAUUUUUUUAUUAAUAGAUUACAUAAAAUUUCCAUGUAAUACUGCCAUAAAUUCUCUUCAUCCAGAAAGUUCAAAUUUACAGUUAUUCUUUCGUUUUUGUUUUUGUUGUGAUUUUAUUUUUAUAGUUUAAAUAAAUAGCUCACCUAACGAAUAGCUAAAUAUUGUUUAGUAUUAAAGUUAGAAAAAAAUAUAUAAAAAAUACAAAAAAAUCUGAUGUUAAUUGCUUUAAUGAUAAUUAACUCUAAGAUUAAAUACCUUGUGCCUUUGAUACAUGGAAAAAUAGAAAUAAUUUUAAUCGAAGUAAAAAAUAGGUAGUGUUAACUUAUUUUCUACUGUAUUUUAGUGGUAUAUGCUUAGGAUAAUAUUAAGAGUUUCACAGGCUCUAAUGCAUUACCAACCUAAAGAAAAAAUAAAUAGUUUUUAAGGCUGUGUUUAUAUUACCUCAGUUGUGGCUGAAAUAGCACCAAUAUAAAAAGUUUUUUUAUCAACCAAAGUCGUUAUUUUUUUUCAAUAAAGGUAAUGCACUAGAAACAAAUCUAAUUGUAUAUCACAUUAGUAUGGUCUGUACAAAGAUCGUUCAGCGUUACGUCAUCAUUAUUUAUCUGAUCGAAUUGACUUUUGAUUCUUUCUUGUUAUUGAAAUUUUGUUUCACAGCGCGAUCGAUUUUUAAUUUUAACACUGACCGAUACCCUUCAACGGGAUUAUAACAACAAAAGUGAAAUGACAGUUAACUGGAAACAAUAUGUACAGGGUGUCCCACUAAGAAUAGCUCUCGGCUGUAUCUCGGAAAGUAUUAGUCGUAGGGUUUGCGGAAAAAAAUAUUUAUGACUAAAGAGAGCAUGAGAAAUUGCUGGAAAUUGGAAAGCUGUUGAAUGUAGACGCUAGGGGGCACUGUCUUAUAAUUUAACAAGCAUUGCGCGUUUUCUUCAAAAAAA